rnacentral:rRNA from 1 species
GAAUUUUGGACAAUGGGCGAAAGCCUGAUCCAGCAAUGCCGCGUGCAGGAUGAAGGCCUUCGGGUUGUAAACUGCUUUUGUACGGAACGAAAAGCUUUGGUGUACUAACCUGGAGUCAGUACGGUACCGUAAGAAUAAGCAGCGGCUAACUGCGUGCCCGGAGCCGCGGUAAUACGUAGGGUGCAAGCGUUAAUCGGAAUAACUGGGCGUAAAGCGUGCGCAGGCGGUUUUGUAAGACAGAGGUGAAAUCCCCGGGCUCAACCUGGGAACUGCCUUUGUGACUGCAAGGCUAGAGUACGGCAGAGGGGGGUGGAAUUCCGCGUGUAGCAGUGAAAUGCGUAGAUAUGCGGAGGAACACCGAUGGCGAAGGCAACCCCCUGGGCCUGUACUGACGCUCAUGCACGAAAGCGUGGGGAGCAAAC